rnacentral:rRNA from 1 species
GACAGAGGUGCCGAGCGUUAGGCGGAAUCACUGGGCUUAAAGCGCGUGUAGGCGGACGGGGACGUCGGUCGCUGAAAUCCCCCGGCUCAACCGGGGAACGGGCGCCGAAACGCCCCGUCUCGAGGGACGUAGGGGGACCUGGAACUUCCGGUGGAGCGGUGAAAUGCGUUGAGAUCGGAAGGAACGCCCGUGGCGAAAGCGAGGUCCUGGACGUCUACUGACGCUGAGACGCGAAAGCUAGGGGAGCGAACGGG